rnacentral:rRNA from 1 species
AGAGUUUGAUCCUGGCUCAGGACGAACGCUGGCGGCGCGCCUAACACAUGCAAGUCGAACGAGCGAGAGAGAGCUUGCUUUCUCGAGCGAGUGGCGAACGGGUGAGUAACGCGUGAGGAACCUGCCUCAAAGAGGGGGACAACAGUUGGAAACGACUGCUAAUACCGCAUAAGCCCACGACCCGGCAUCGGGUAGAGGGAAAAGGAGCAAUCCGCUUUGAGAUGGCCUCGCGUCCGAUUAGCUAGUUGGUGAGGUAACGGCCCACCAAGGCGACGAUCGGUAGCCGGACUGAGAGGUUGAACGGCCACAUUGGGACUGAGACACGGCCCAGACUCCUACGGGAGGCAGCAGUGGGGAAUAUUGCACAAUGGGGGAAACCCUGAUGCAGCGACGCCGCGUGGAGGAAGAAGGUCUUCGGAUUGUAAACUCCUGUUGUUGAGGAAGAUAAUGACGGUACUCAACAAGGAAGUGACGGCUAACUACGUGCCAGCAGCCGCGGUAAAACGUAGGUCACAAGCGUUGUCCGGAAUUACUGGGUGUAAAGGGAGCGCAGGCGGGAAGACAAGUUGGAAGUGAAAUCUAUGGGCUCAACCCAUAAACUGCUUUCAAAACUGUUUUUCUUGAGUAGUGCAGAGGUAGGCGGAAUUCCCGGUGUAGCGGUGGAAUGCGUAGAUAUCGGGAGGAACACCAGUGGCGAAGGCGGCCUACUGGGCACCAACUGACGCUGAGGCUCGAAAGUGUGGGUAGCAAACAGGAUUAGAUACCCUGGUAGUCCACACCGUAAACGAUGAUUACUAGGUGUUGGAGGAUUGACCCCUUCAGUGCCGCAGUUAACACAAUAAGUAAUCCACCUGGGGAGUACGACCGCAAGGUUGAAACUCAAAGGAAUUGACGGGGGCCCGCACAAGCAGUGGAGUAUGUGGUUUAAUUCGACGCAACGCGAAGAACCUUACCAAGUCUUGACA